GCCUGGGUGGCUCAGUUGGUUAAGCAUCCGACUUCGGGUCAGGUCAUGAUCUUGCAGAUCGUGAGUUCGAACUCUGCCUCAGGCU
rnacentral:tRNA from 1 species